CAUUAACUCAAGGUUGCAACAGCAGAAGAGGAAAGAAACGCCCAUCUGCAGGUGGUGAAGACCUAGCUCAGCCAUUACCUCGAUGCCCACUGGCCACCUGUUCCUUCUUCCUUUUCCUAUACCAGCCUUGGAGGCUGUAGGUUCUCUAUCACGAACCUUGAAGAGUGGUAGCUCCCUGCCAUCUUCUUGGUCUGCUGCGUUCCCCCUGUCCCCAGCAAUCUGUCCCAUUCACUGGCUUUUGCGGUGGGAAAAAAUGAAAGAAUUCAGUAGUCCUGGCUGGUGGUAUGGACCCGUGCCCUCAGUGCUACUCAGCUACUCUGGAGGCAGGAGAAUUGCGAGUUCAAUGCUUGACUACAGAGUGUGGUCAGGGGCACCCUGGGCAACUAAGGAGAGCCCUUGCUUGAGGACAAAGGAAGCAGCUGCAGCAGAAUAUAGAGAUUAGCGCUGGAUUUGGCCCAAGAAGUCACCAAAGCAGCAUGGUGGUGGUCUAGGGUGAGGCAUGGACCAGGGGCCAGGACUCAAAUCUGAAAAUAAAGGACUUCCAGGUGAAAUUGCCAGCCCUCUGCACACAGCUGCUGAAGCCCAGACAGCCAGAUGUCUGUUGCAGAUCGGUACUGCGAGGGCCCAGACCUGCAGCCUUUCUCUACACAGAUGCUCUGGAGAUGUAAUUUUAAUUAACGGUGGGAGCUAUGGCCCCAAGGAUUGGAUUUUCAGAACAGAAAAUAUCCUUCCCAUUUCGUUCUUUCUCACUCUCUUUUCAUUCCUCUGUCGUUUCCCCCCAAUGUCACCGACAUUUAAAAAUAAAUAUG